AGAGUUUGAUCCUGGCUCAGAUUGAACGCUGGCGGCAUGCCUUACACAUGCAAGUCGAACGGCAGCACGGGAGCAAUCCUGGUGGCGAGUGGCGAACGGGUGAGUAAUAUAUCGGAACGUGCCCAGUCGUGGGGGAUAACGUAGCGAAAGCUACGCUAAUACCGCAUACGAUCUAUGGAUGAAAGCGGGGGAUCGCAAGACCUCGCGCGAUUGGAGCGGCCGAUAUCAGAUUAGCUAGUUGGUGGGGUAAAGGCCCACCAAGGCGACGAUCUGUAGCUGGUCUGAGAGGACGACCAGCCACACUGGAACUGAGACACGGUCCAGACUCCUACGGGAGGCAGCAGUGGGGAAUUUUGGACAAUGGGCGCAAGCCUGAUCCAGCAAUGCCGCGUGCAGGACGAAGGCCUUCGGGUUGUAAACUGCUUUUGUACGGAACGAAAAGGUCUGCCCUAAUACGGC
rnacentral:rRNA from 1 species